UUAUCCAAUCGUCUCCCCCGAGAUGCAUCUGCAUCCAGCUCCUUACUUCUCUCGUUCCAUCCCUCUUUCUCAUCCCUGUGCUUCCACUGAUAUGCAGCUCUGGAUGUGAAGCCUCCAAAGUCGCUGGUGCCCCCCGUUCCGCCGGAGCCAGCGCCGCCACCGGAUCCCGUCCCCUCCCCUCCCAUCCUCUCUGUGUGUGCAUGUUUCUCUCAUUUCCUCAUAUCGUUCUAUGCUUCCAGGUCGUCGGCGCACGCCCGGCCAUGGCGCGGUCGCGGCAGACCUUGAGCUGGAUCCGCUCCCCGUACAGCUUGCACGCCAGCGUCCUCUUGUAGUCCUUCCCCUUGGAGGGCGACCCCUCGUCGGCGCCAUCGGCCAGGUUCUCCGACGAGGUCCGCAUGUGCACGCGUCGCGCGAUGGACGUUGACAUCAGGGGACUCUCCCUCCCGUCCGUGUCCUCGAGCUCCGCCUUUUCCUGCGGCUCUGACGCAGGCUGCUGCACAUCCUCUUGGUGGUCUUGUCCGUCAGACGAACAGGGCAACAAUCCAAUCUCUUUUCCUCAACCGCAGUCCGCAUCAGUACUGAAUGUGAAGCCAAGUUGCUGACACACCGUUCCAGACCACCAGAUUGGGAGUGCCGCCGCCGGAUCCUGUCCCCAUCACGCCUGCGGUCAAGAACCGGGACAUCGUCGCACGCCCAUCCCCGUCCCCAACGCUCCCGUGCCCGCGCCGUCGAUGUUGUCGUAAUUUCAGCAUCAUUCGAAUAUGUGUGGAUUUGGCCACUUCCUUGCCUUUUGGGUCAACGACAGAGUUUGCGUAUGUGCGUGAUGGCUGGAUCUGGAUGUACAAGCAGAAACUCUGUUAAGGGGACUACGGGUUGAAUAUUAAAAAUGCAGGGCCCUUUUUGUAAAACCGAAGCGUUUUCCUUGGUUCACUUAACCAGGGACCGCGGGU